rnacentral:misc_RNA from 1 species
CCGUGUAUCCACGUACAAACAAUGUGAACUGUUCCCAAUGGAAAUGAAUGUUAUGAAGGCUUGCUGAUGGCGGUUCAGGAUUUUUAUCUCGAACUGAGUCUUGAUAACGGCUUCGCGAAAGCGAAAGCAAGUUCAUUCCCAUUGAGUUACUCACCAUCGGUUGUGAAACCUUAUUAACCCUGUACCUUUUGAACUAAACUAUUCUUCGAUACCACAGAAGCCUUGUUGGCUUAGCCACGGCUGAAGGGUUCGUAGAAAUUGAUACCAAAUUAAGAA